AUUGAACGCUGGCGGCAUGCCUUACACAUGCAAGUCGAACGGCAGCACGGGAGCAAUCCUGGUGGCGAGUGGCGAACGGGUGAGUAAUAUAUCGGAACGUGCCCAGUCGUGGGGGAUAACGUAGCGAAAGCUACGCUAAUACCGCAUACGAUCUGUGGAUGAAAGCGGGGGAUCGCAAGACCUCGCGCGAUUGGAGCGGCCGAUAUCAGAUUAGGUUGUUGGUGGGGUAAAAGCCCACCAAGCCGACGAUCUGUAGCUGGUCUGAGAGGACGACCAGCCACACUGGGACUGAGACACGGCCCAGACUCCUACGGGAGGCAGCAGUGGGGAAUUUUGGACAAUGGGCGCAAGCCUGAUCCAGCAAUGCCGCGUGCAGGAUG
rnacentral:rRNA from 1 species